rnacentral:rRNA from 1 species
ACGUACACUCCUACGGGAGGCAGCAGUGGGGAAUAUUGGACAAUGGGCGCAAGCCUGAUCCAGCCAUGCCGCGUGAGUGAUGAAGGCCCUAGGGUUGUAAAGCUCUUUCACCGGUGAAGAUAAUGACGGUAACCGGAGAAGAAGCCCCGGCUAACUUCGUGCCAGCAGCCGCGGUAAUACGAAGGGGGCUAGCGUUGUUCGGAUUUACUGGGCGUAAAGCGCACGUAGGCGGACUAUUAAGUCAGGGGUGAAAUCCCGGGGCUCAACCCCGGAACUGCCUUUGAUACUGGUAGUCUUGAGUUCGAGAGAGGUGAGUGGAAUUCCGAGUGUAGAGGUGAAAUUCGUAGAUAUUCGGAGGAACACCAGUGGCGAAGGCGGCUCACUGGCUCGAUACUGACGCUGAGGUGCGAAAGCGUGGGGAGCAAACAGGAUUAGAAACCCGGGUAGUCCCAUA